GAUGAACGCUAGCGGCAGGCCUAAUACAUGCAAGUCGAACGGUGUCUUCGGACAUAGUGGCGCACGGGUGCGUAACACGUAUGCAACCUACCUUACAUUGGGGGAUAGCCUUUCGAAAGGGAGAUUAAUACCGCAUAGACAGGAGCCGGGCCUUCAGCAGCUGGUUAAGAUUUAACGAUGUAAGGUGGGCAUGCGUCCAAUCAGCUAUUUGGUGAGGUAACGGCCCACCAAGGCAAGGAUUGGUAGGGGAACUGGGAGGUCAAUCCCCCACACUGGCACUGAGAUACGGGCCAGACUCCUACGGGAGGCAGCAGUAGGGAAUAUUGGGCAAUGGACGCAAGUCUGACCCAGCCAUGCCGCGUGCAGGAUGAAGGCGUUAUGCGUUGUAAACUGCUUUUAUACAGGAAGAAACGACUCUUGCGAGAGGCAUUGACGGUACUGUAUGAAUAAGCACCGGCUAACUCCGUGCCAGCAGCCGCCGUAAGAC
rnacentral:rRNA from 1 species